AUGCCAAUCCAAUGGCAGCUGGGAUUACAGGGAAACUACGCCAGCUUGUAAAGAUUAUCAACCUCCUACAUUAACCUGCCCCAACGAUACUACUGUAGGCAACGAUGCAGGGAAAAAUACAUCAUCUGUUAGUUGGAAUUUUUCAUUCACUGACAACUCUCUGACGGAGAAUGAGCCUGGAAUUACGGAGGAUCUCUUUGACGUCGUACUGACGAUAAACGAUGUCAAUGUGGAUACAACUCUUCCCAAGCUGUUAGGGAUCGGCACAAACGCAGUGAAAUACGUUGUGACAGACGUUGCUGGAAACUCAGAUUCCUGUACUUUUACUUAUUUUGUAAAUGGUAAGUAGAGACGUUUCAACAUUUUCUCGAUUCAUUUUCUUGUGUUUACACAUGUUGUGAUUUUAGUCACACUGCCCCGGGGGAAUAGUACAGGAUUUUCUCUCUACAACGUAACCUCUUGUGUGCGCCUGGUUGAAUGGAAAGCUGAAGAGAUUUAUGAUCCUACUACUUUAAUUUCUGUAGAUACUGAGGCUCCAGUCUGUGGUUUCUGUCCACCGGACCAAACCAUCGUCAACGCCACUGGUACUCAAGAGUUUGUAAACUGGGACCACCCCGAAUGUACCGACAACUCCGGAAUACCGCCCUACAUCUACUCAGAGAGACAACCUGGUUCAUAUUUCUCGGUUCCCAGUGCCACUGAAGUGUUUUACAUCGUCCGUGAUGACAACAAGAACGAAAACUUAGACUGCUCAUUUAGAAUUACAAUCGAGAAAUUGACGUGUCCACUAUAUGAACCUCCGGAGAAUGGUGCCUUGGCUUGCAACACGAUUGUAGAAGACACAUAUUGCCAGGUGCAGUGUCAAAGUGGCAACGACUUCGUGUUCAACCCUCCUUUGUACUACUUCUGCCAAGACGGAGUAUGGCAAUUUUACGCUCUACCAAGCCAAGAGUACAGUACUGAUUUACCCUGGCCAGAUUGUGCAGGUACGUUAGGUGAAUGGUUCCGUAAUAGGCCCUUUGCAGCUGGG